rnacentral:rRNA from 1 species
AUUGAACGCUGGCGGCAUGCUUUACACAUGCAAGUCGAACGGUAACAGGCCGCAAGGUGCUGACGAGUGGCGAACGGGUGAGUAAUGCAUCGGAACGUGCCCAGUCGUGGGGGAUAACGCAGCGAAAGCUGCGCUAAUACCGCAUACGAUCUAUGGAUGAAAGCGGGGAACCGUAAGGCCUCGCGCGAUUGGAGCGGCCGAUGUCAGAUUAGGUAGUUGGUGGGGUAAAGGCUCACCAAGCCAACGAUCUGUAGCUGGUCUGAGAGGACGGCCAGCCACACUGUGACGGGGACACGGCCCAGACUCCUACAGGAGGCAGCAGUGGGGAAUUUUGGACAAUGGGCGCAAGCCUGAUCCAGCAAUGCCGCGUGCAGGAAGAAGGCCUUCGGGUUGUAAACUGCUUUUGUACGGAACGAAACGGUCCUGGUUAAUACCUGGGGCUAAUGACGGUACCGUAAGAAUAAGCACCGGCUAACUACGUGCCAGCCGCCGCGGUAAAAC